rnacentral:rRNA from 1 species
AUUAGUUUUUUAAUUGGAGGCUGGGAUGAAUGGUUGGACAAGAGAUAAUCUGUCUCAAUAAAAGAUAUUGAAUUUAACUUUUAAGUGAAAAGGCUUAAAUGAUCUGAGGGGACGAUAAGACCCUAUAAAACUUUAUAUUUAAGGGUGUAAGUUGUUUUUGUUUGUAAGUUAUUAUCUGAGAGUAUUUGGUUGGGGCGACAGGAAUAGGAUAUAAAGUAACUGUUCUUUUUUUUGACAAUAAUAUUUGGUUUAAUGAUCCUAAAAAGGAUUGAAGAUUAAGUUACUUUAGGGAUAACAGCGUAAUUUUUUUUGAGAGUUCUUAUCGACAAAAAAGUUUGUGACCUCGAUGUUGAAUUAAAGGUUCUUUAUAGAGGAGAGACUAUAAUAGAAGGUCUGUUCGACCUUUAAAAUUUUACAUGAUUUGAGUUCAGA